rnacentral:rRNA from 1 species
AUUGAACGCUGGCGGCAGGCCUAACACAUGCAAGUCGAGCGGAUGAAGGGAGCUUGCUCCUGGAUUCAGCGGCGGACGGGUGAGUAAUGCCUAGGAAUCUGCCUGGUUGUGGGGGAUAACGUCCGGAAACGGGCGCUAAUACCGCAUACGUCCUGAGGGAGAAAGUGGGGGAUCUUCGGACCUCACGCUAUCAGAUGAGCCUAGGUCGGAUUAGCUAGUUGGUGGGGUAAAGGCCUACCAAGGCGACGAUCCGUAACUGGUCUGAGAGGAUGAUCAGUCACACUGGAAAGGAGACACGGUCCAGACUCCUACGGGAGGCAGCAGUGGGGAAUAUUGGACAAUGGGCGAAAGCCUGAUCCAGCCAUGCCGCGUGUGUGAAGAAGGUCUUCGGAUUGUAAAGCACUUUAAGUUGGGAGGAAGGGCAGUAAGUUAAUACCUUGCUGUUUUGACGGUACCAACAGAAUAAGCACCGGCUAACUUCGUG